rnacentral:sRNA from 7 species
CGAGCGAAGCGAGAGAACGUUGCGUCAGCAACGGCCCGCAGGGCGAGCCAUCCUCUAUCACCGGCAG